rnacentral:rRNA from 1 species
UAAUACAGAGAGUGCGAGCGUUAAUCGGAAUUACUGGGCGUAAAGCGCGCGUAGGUGGAUAUUUAAGUCGGAUGUGAAAGCCCCGGGCUCAACCCGGGAACUGCAUCCGAUACUGGGUAUCUAGAGUAUGGUAGAGGGAAGUGGAAUUUCCGGUGUAGCGGUGAAAUGCGUAGAUAUCGGAAGGAACACCAGUGGCGAAGGCGGCUUCCUGGACCAAUACUGACACUGAGGCGCGAAAGCGUGGGGAGCAAACAGGAUUAGAGACCCUGGUAGUCCACGCCGUCAACGAUGAGAACUAGCUGUUGGGACCUUGAGUCUUAGUAGCGCAGCUAACACGAUAAGUUCUCCGCCUGGGGAGUACGGCCGCAAGGUUA